GCCCACCUGAUAGCUCAGUCAGUAGAGCAUCAAACUCUUGAUCUCGGGGUUGUGCGUUCGAGCCCCACGUUGGGGUA